rnacentral:rRNA from 1 species
UACGUAGGGUGCGAGCGUUGUCCGGAAUUACUGGGCGUAAAGAGCUCGUAGGUGGUUUGUCGCGUCGUCCGUGAAAUUCCGGGGCUUAACUUCGGGCGUGCAGGCGAUACGGGCAAUACUUGAGUGCUGUAGGGGAGACUGGAAUUCCUGGUGUAGCGGUGAAAUGCGCAGAUAUCAGGAGGAACACCAAUGGCGAAGGCAGGUCUCUGGGCAGUUACUGACGCUGAGGAGCGAAAGCAUGGGUAGCGAACAGGAUUAGAUACCCCGGUA